rnacentral:rRNA from 1 species
UACAGGGGGUGCAAACGUUGCUCGGAAUUAUUGGGCGUAAAGCGCACGUAGGCGGUUUGCUAUGUCGGAUGUGAAAGCCCUUGGCUUAACUGAGGAAGUGCAUCCGAAACUGGCAGCUAGAGUACCAAAGAGGGUCGCGGAAUUCCCGGUGUAGAGGUGAAAUUCGUAGAUAUCGGGAGGAACACCGGUGGCGAAGGCGGCGACCUGGGUGGAUACUGACGCUGAGGUGCGAAAGCGUGGGGAGCAAACAGG